rnacentral:rRNA from 1 species
UGCCAGACUCCUACGGGAGGCAGCAGUGGGGAAUAUUGGGCAAUGGAGGCAACUCUUACCCAGCAAUGCCGCGUGAAUGAAGAAGGUCUUCGGAUUGUAAAGUUCUUUAAUUGGGGACGAAAAAAAUGACGGUACCCAAGGAAUAAGCCCCGGCUAACUACGUGCCAGCAGCCGCGGUAAUACGUAGGGGGCGAGCGUUAUCCGGAUUCACUGGGUGUAAAGGGAGCGUAGACGGCUGUGCAAGCCAGAUGUGAAAGCCCGGGGCUCAACCCCGGGACUGCAUUUGGAACUGCGUGGCUUGAGUGUCGGAGAGGCAGGCGGAAUUCCUAGUGUAGCGGUGAAAUGCGUAGAUAUUAGGAGGAACACCAGUGGCGAAGGCGGCCUGCUGGACGAUGACUGACGUUGAGGCUCGAAAGCGUGGGGAGCAAACAGGAUUAGAUACCCCCGUA